rnacentral:lncRNA from 1 species
UUUUCUUAUUUUUAACUUAGAGACAGGGCAUUGCUAAGUUGCUAAUUUGCCUAGCUAGGCUCAAACUUUUGAUCUUCCUGCCUCAACCUCUCAGAGGGCUUGGGACUACAGGCAGGUGCCAGCUCACCUGCCUUGGAUUUUUGAGACAAUGUCUCACUACGUAGUCCAGGCUGGUCUUGAACUUGCUAUGUAGCCAAGUGGGCCUGGAACUUGUUAUCCUCCUGCCUCAGCCUGCUAUGUACUGGGAUUACAGCCAGCUCCUAUGGCAAAGAAUUCUAGAAUAAUCUGUGGAAGACAUAUGCUCCAACCAACAGCCAGAACCAGCUCUAAGACCUGUGAACGAAGGCAUCGGAGACCAACAAUCCUCCAGUAAAACUGUUAACUGACUGAAAAUACAUGAGUGAGUGGCUGACACCAGGUAGAACAGAACUGAGCUGCCUCUGUGACGCUCAGCCCAAACUGUUAACCUACAACACCAUAAAAACAUAAAUAAUUAUUUUAAGUAACUAAAUUUUAGGUAGUUUGUUAUAAAACAAAGCUAGCUGGAAUAAAUAUUUGAGUUUGAGUAGCUGGGAAUGGCUCUACUUGCUUAGUGGACUGGCUGAAACCUGGACUAAAUGAUAGGCUACAUUCAAUGAUAUCGAGUCACCAGAAGUCCUCUGGAAGAAAGUACAUGAGAGAUUCUAAAGGCAAUGGCCAUCGUGGUUCAUGCCUGUAAUCACAGCACUUGGGAGGCCGAGGCAGGAGGAUUGCUAUGAGUUUGAGGCCAGCCUAGGCUACAUAGUCUAAUGCUAGCCUGGCAUAUAUAGCAAGACCCUAUCUGGGAGAAAAAGAGGGAGGGAGGGAAAAGAAAGGGAGAAGGGAGGGGGAGGAGAGAGAGAGAGAGAGAGAGAGAGAGAGAGAGAGAGAGAGAGAGAGAGAGAUCGAUCUCAUUGGGCUCUGGAAGGGUCUAAGGUAUAGUUUUUUCCCUAAAGCUCUGUGGACUUGGGGAAGGGGAACCCUAGCAACCUUGCACAGUGCUUUCUGUAGACUGUUUUGUGUAGGCCAAGGAGGAUGACAGGCGGAGAUGAUUUCAGCAGAGACGAUGAGAGCCCUUUACCCACAGGAAUCUUUGUUGGUGGUUAGCUUUAAGAAAUAAAUAGAUGGGUAACCUACCAAAGCAUUACUUGAUCUGUAGAACAGAAACCAGACCUGACUUAUACCUUGAGAACUGCAGCUUCUUCCUCAAUUACAAAAUUG